GGAUCCCGAUCGUUAGAAGUUUGCGGAUGGGUUGCCUGGAGAUUUGGUUACAAUCAGGUUCAUUAUUAUUUUUUUUUUUUUCCUCCUGAAACAAGUGAAGGCGAUGGUUACUGCUGUCAAUCUUGGCAAUCAAUGUGAGCGGCCAUGUCGUAAGUAUUCAAAGCAUUUCCCGUCGUGCAACAUCAGAAAGUGAGUGGCCAGGGCAUUGAUCUGAGGAAGGCAAAAGGAGGCAGGGCUCCCCCGCCCAGACAGCACAGGCAAGAUGAGACAACACAGAGAGAGAGAGGGAGAGGGGAAGAGAGAGAGGGGGAGACUGAGAGCGAGCGAGCGAGCGAGCGGGGAAAGCAACAACUGCGGAGAAAGUGAGCACAAAACAGAAAGUGAAAUCACCCCAGGCUGCCAGCCGCAUCCCCGAGAAGCUAUCACCACUCACAUUGCUAUUAGACAAAUGAAACCUUAAACCUCUCUCCUCUAAUGACCACUGAUUGCCCGGAGUGGUGAGGAAAGGCUAAAACCAGCCACAGAAGCCAGCGCAAGCAGAUGUUGAGGAGGGAUGCUGAACUGCUGUGGGUCCUGGCAGAGGGAAGGGAUCGGAGGCGCUCUGUUCACGUCGGGGCACUUACCUGUUCACAGUUGUCAUUGCAUUUUGCACCGUCUCUCUCAUUAAAUACGUUAAAGUAAAGCAAUAUUCACCAA